rnacentral:lncRNA from 1 species
CGUCCCGGGGUCCCGGGAAGUGACGGGCUGUCUGCUGGCCGCAGGGGUCGUUGGUGGCGAAGACUACGAGGAGGUGGACAGGUACAGCCGCCAGGGCCGAGUGGCCCGGGCUGGCACUCGCGGAGCCCAGCAGAGCCGCCGAGGAAGCUGGAGGUACAAAAGGGAAGAAGAGGACCGAGAAGUAGCAGCUGCUGUCCGGGCCUCCGUGGCCGCACAGCAGCAGGAGGAGGCUCGCAGGAGUGAGGAUCAGGAGGAAGGCGGUAGGCCCAAGAAGGAGGAGGCAGCGGCGCGGGGACCUGAGGAUCCCCGUGGCCCCCGGCGCUCACCCCGGACUCAGGGCGAAGGCCCAGGCCCCAAGGAAACCUCGACAAAUGGUCCUGUAAGCCAAGAAGCCUUCUCGGUGACAGGCCCAGCCGCCCCAGGCGCCCUCCCACCACCCAGCCCGAAGCUCAAGGACGAAGACUUCCCCAGCCUCUCUGCCUCCACUUCCUCCUCCUGCUCCACUGCAGCAACCCCGGGCCCUGUGGGGUUGGCGCUGCCGUACGCCAUCCCUGCCAGAGGCAGGAGUGCCUUCCAGGAGGAGGACUUCCCCGCCCUGGUGUCCUCGGUGCCCAAGCCUGGCACCGCCCCCACCAGCCUUGUCUCUGCCUGGAACAGCAGCAGUAGCAGCAAGAAGGUAGCACAGCCCCCACUCUCGGCGCAGGCUACCGGCAGCGGCCAGCCCACCAGGAAGGCUGGGAAGGGGAGCAGGGGCGGCAGGAAGGGCGGCCCGCCCUUCACACAGGA